rnacentral:rRNA from 1 species
GACGAACGCUGGCGGCGCGCUUAACACAUGCAAGUCGAGCGAAGCGGCGGACGGGUGAGUAACACGUGAGUAACCUGCCUUAGACAUUGGGAUAGCCUCGGGAAACCGGGAUUAAUACCAAAUGGUCUAAGAUGGACUCGGGUCCCAUUCGCUAGCUGGUGAGGUAACGGCCCACCAAGGCGACGCUGGGUGGCCGGCCGGAGUGGUGGAACGGCCACAUUGAAACUGAGAAACGGUCCAAACGCUACGGGAGGCAGCAGUGGGUAAUAUUGCACAAUGGAGGGAAUUCUGAUGCAGCGACGCCGAGUGAACGAAGAAGGCUUUCGAGUCGUAAAGUUCUUUUAUAUGGGAAGCGGUACCAUAAGAAAAAGCCCCGGCUAACUACGUGCCAGCAGCCGCGGUAAUUC